rnacentral:misc_RNA from 1 species
AGCAGCCGCGGUAAUUCCAGCUCCAAUAGCGUAUAUUAAAGUUGUUGCAGUUAAAAGCUCGUAGUUGAAUUUCGGGGUUAGUAGGUUGGUCAUGCCUCUGGUAUGUACUGGUCUCACUGAUUCCUCCUUCCUGAUGAGCCGUAAUGCCAUUAAUUUGGUGUUGCGGGGAAUCUGGACUGUUACUUUGAAAAAUUGAGUGUUUAAAGCAGGCUAACGCUUGAAUACAUUAGCAUGGAAUAAUGAAAUAGGACGUUCGAUCCUAUUUUGUUGGUUUCUAGGAUUGACGUAAUGAUUAAUAGGGAUAGUUGGGGGCAUUAGUAUUCAAUUGUCAGAGGUGAAAUUCUUGGAUUUAUUGAAGACUAACUACUGCGGAAGCAUUUGCCAAGGAUGUUUUCAUUAAUCAAGAAC